AGGUGGAAAGGACAGGGAAUGAACCAGCACAGGGAUCAGGGAAUGAACCAGCACAGGGAUCAGGGAAUGAACCAGCACAGGGAUCAGGGAUGAACCAGCACAGGGAUCCAGGGAAUGAACCAGCACAGGGAUCCAGGAAUGAACCAGCACAGGGAUCAGGGAAUGAACCAGCACAGGGAUCAGGGGAAUGAACCAGCACAGGGAUCCAGGGAAUGAACCAGCACAGGGAUCAGGGAAUGAACCAGCACAGGGAUCAGGGAAUGAACCAGCACAGGGAUCAGGGAAUGAACCAGCACAGGGAUCCAGGAAAUGGCUCUGCUGCCAAAACACUGGGAGCCCCAUGCAAGGACUCACUCCCCAAUUUAGUUGUGUUUUAGGCUGGUACCCACAGAGCUCAGCAGCUGUAUCAGCUACAAAGCACUCUUGGAAAUAAAAGAAGGGGGGUUUUCUCCUUCAAAUCAAAGAUAGAAUGGAUUUACCUCCUCCAAAACAAAGAAAAUUAGGGAUACUCCUCCUCCAAAGCAAGAAUAAUGAGGAUUUUCCUCCCCUAACUCAAAAA